rnacentral:tRNA from 1 species
GGGCGGUUAGCUCAGUUGGUUAGAGCGUCUCCUUUACACGGAGAAGGUCGAGGGUUCAACUCCUUCACCGCCCACCA